UUACGACCAUAUCACGUUGAAACACCGGUUCCCGUACGAUCACCGAAAUUAAACAAAGUCAAGCCUGAUCAAUACCUAAAUGGGUGACCGCUUAGGGGAUACCAAGUGAUG